GCCAAGGAGGGAGUGCAGUCCAGAAUAGAUUCAUUUGGGCUAUAGUUGGAGGCCCAAGGGUGAAAUGAUAAGGACAAAAGGUCCUCAUCUUUCUCACCUCUUCAUGCUUAGCAACGCAGAGGGAGGAAAAGAUAGAAGACGUCGGUCGUGCUGGCUCCAGCACCGAUUGAGGCACUUACACGGUGAAGCACCUCACACGCCAUCUCUGCUUCUGUCUCUCCUAAACGGAACCAAAAACAACCUCCUUCACUUAACCAAAACAAAGUGCUAACGUUCGAUUCUCACGAUGGAUCGAAAUGGAAAAUGGAAGUGUACUAAACCAUGAUUCACACUGCAACAUAAGGAUUGAUUAGCACGGAGAGACGAGGUUCUCACUUGCGAUGGCGAAGGCGGCGGAUUCGUCGGCGACGUCGAAUUCAACUCAAGCAUUGCGGUGCUGGAAGAAGAAGAAGAAGUUGAAGAUUCUGCAGGUCUCUUUUUUGGAAGAUUGAAGAAGAAAAACUUCUCUCAAUUCCUUCUUGUAUUUAUAGUUGUGUAUAAUUGAAUCUUUGGAUGUGAGUUUUGAAUUUUUGAUUCCGUUUUGAUUGCUUCUGCUUGCAAUUCUGCGUUUUGGUCA